AUUGAACGCUGGCGGCAUGCCUUACACAUGCAAGUCGAACGGUAACGGGCCUUCGGGUGCCGACGAGUGGCGAACGGGUGAGUAAUGUAUCGGAACGUACCUUUCAGUGGGGGAUAACGUAGCGAAAGUUACGCUAAUACCGCAUAUUCUGUGUGCAGGAAAGCAGGGGAUCGCAAGACCUUGCGCUGAUUGAGCGGCCGAUAUCAGAUUAGCUAGUUGGUGAGGUAAAGGCUCACCAAGGCGACGAUCUGUAGCGGGUCUGAGAGGAUGAUCAGCCACACUGGAACUGAGACACGGUCCAGACUCCUACGGGGGGCAGCAGUGGGGAAUAUUGGACAAUGGGCGCAAGCCUGAUCCAGCAAUGCCGCGUGUGUGAAGAAGGC
rnacentral:rRNA from 1 species